rnacentral:misc_RNA from 1 species
AAUUGAUAGAAAAACAGAUAUUAUAACUUUUAUAAAACUAAAAUGCAACAACUGAGCAACUUUUCACAUACCUUACUAGCGUAAGUAAAAAAAACUUAUUGGUAAAUAAUUCAACGUGACUCACUAAAGCAUAGGUUAAAAAAUUUAUUGCUAUUUAGAGCAUAGAAACACAUAUCAUCAUCAAUAGUAAGUGAUGAGAACUGGUAGAACUCUAACCAAAGUCAUCAUCCUAAGCACACGCUAAAUAAUCCAAACACCCACCUUUAAUUGCGGACAGACUCCAAUUCAAAUUAGAAGAUUAUCAGCAAACAAUGUAUAUCUAAACAACAACAACUAAGUCUUGACCCCAAACUUGUUGGGGUUGACUACAUGCAUUUUUUUUGCCAUUUAGCUCUUCUGGACAUCAAGUCCGCAAAACAAUGUUUAUCAAAAAAAAGGUAC